rnacentral:rRNA from 1 species
UGCAGCAACGCCGCGUGAGGUGAUUGACGGCCUUCUCGGGUUGUAAACCUCUUUUAGUAGGGAAGAAGCGAAAGUGACGGUACCUGCAGAAAAAGCACCGGCUAACUACGUGCCAGCAGCCGCGGUAAUACGUAGGGUGCAAGCGUUGUCCGGAAUUAUUGGGCGUAAAGAGCUCGUAGGCGGUUUGUCGCGUCUGCUGUGAAAUCCCGAGGCUCAACCUCGGGCUUGCAGUGGGUACGGGCAGACUAGAGUGCGGUAGGGGAGAUUGGAAUUCCUGGUGUAGCGGUGGAAUGCGCAGAUAUCAGGAGGAACACCGAUGGCGAAGGCAGAUCUCUGGGCCGUAACUGACGCUGAGGAGCGAAAGCAUGGGGAGCGAACAGGAUUAGAUACCCUGGUAGUCCAUGCCGUAAACGUUGGGCGCUAGAUGUAGGGACCUUUCCACGGUUUCUGUGUCGUAGCUAACGCAUUAAGCGCCCCGCCUGGGGAGUACGGCCGCAAGGCUAAAACUCAAAGGAAUUGACGGGGGCCCGCACAAGCGGCGGAGCAUGCGGAUUAAUUCGAUGCAACGCGAAGAACCUUACCAAGGCUUGACAUACACCGGAAACGGCCAGAGAUGGUCGCCCCCUUGUG